rnacentral:rRNA from 1 species
UACGUAGGGUGCAGGCGUUAAUCGGAAUUACUGGGCGUAAAGCGUGCGCAGGCGGUUCGGAAAGAAAGAUGUGAAAUCCCAGAGCUUAACUUUGGAACUGCAUUUUUAACUCCCGGGCUAGAGUGUGUCAGAGGGGGGUAGAAUUCCACGUGUAGCAGUGAAAUGCGUAGAGAUGUGGAGGAAUACCGAUGGCGAAGGCAGCCCCCUGGGACAACACUGACGCUCAUGCACGAAAGCGUGGGGAGCAAACAGG